GGAUAUGAGGAAAAUCUGGUUGUGACAUCUGUCACCCCACUGAUCAUCAGGUUUGAUUCGACUAAUCUGGCUGGCUAGGCUGGUGUUCCCUUCUUCCCUCACGGCUCCAUGUGCGUCCCUCCCAAAGCUGCAUGCUCGGUCGAACAGGAUGACCAUCCCCGAUAGAGGAGGACCAGUCUUUGGUCAAGGGUAUAUGAGGAGCUGCACUCCCCUGCUAGAACCGCCAAACAAGCUCUCAAAAAGUUUGGGAAGACAGACUGAAGAAUGAGAUGUUUUAGGGACUAAGGGCUUUGAAAGCUCCUACAUAUUC
ensembl:misc_RNA 7SK 7SK RNA